GACAGAGGGUGCAAACGUUGUUCGGAAUUACUGGGCGUAAAGCGUGUGUAGGCGGCCGCGCAAGUCGGAUGUGAAAGCCCUGGGCUCAACUCAGGAAGUGCACCCGAUACUGCGUGGCUCGAGUACCGGAGAGGUUGGUGGAAUUCUCGGUGUAGAGGUGAAAUUCGUAGAUAUCGAGAGGAACACCUGUGGCGAAGGCGGUUGCCUGGAGCUUUGCUGACGCUGAGGAGCGAAAGCGUGGGGAGCGAACAGG
rnacentral:rRNA from 1 species